CUCCUACGGGAGGCAGCAGUGGGGAAUCUUGCACAAUGGGGGCAACCCUGAUGCAGCGACGCCGCGUGAGCGAUGAAGCCCUUCGGGGUGUAAAGCUCUUUCGGCAGGGACGAGACAAGACGGUACCUGCAGAAGCAGCUGCGGCUAACUACGUGCCAGCAGCCGCGGUAAUACGUAGGCAGCGAGCGUUGUUCGGAAUUACUGGGCGUAAAGGGUGUGUAGGCGGUUCUCUAAGUUUGGUGUGAAAUCUCCCGGCUUAACCGGGAGGGUGCGCCGAAAACUGGGGGACUAGAGUGCGGGAAGGGAGAGUGGAAUUCCUGGUGUAGCGGUGAAAUGCGUAGAUAUCAGGAGGAACACCGGUGGUGUAGACGGCUCUCUGGACCGUAACUGACGCUGAGACACGAAAGCGUGGGUAGCAAACAGGAUUAGAUACCCUGGUAGUCCACGCCCUAAACGAUGCAUAUUUGGUGUAGGUCAUUCAGUUGAUCUGUGCCGGAGCUAACGCGUUAAAU
rnacentral:rRNA from 1 species